rnacentral:rRNA from 1 species
UACGAAGGGGGCUAGCGUUGCUCGGAAUCACUGGGCGUAAAGCGCACGUAGGCGGAUUGCUAAGUCAGGGGUGAAAUCCUGGAGCUCAACUCCAGAACUGCCCUUGAUACUGGCGGUCUCGAGUCCGGGAGAAGUGAGUGGAACUGCGAGUGUAGAGGUGAAAUUCGUAGAUAUUCGCAAGAACACCAGUGGCGAAGGCGGCUCACUGGCCCGGUACUGACGCUGAGGUGCGAAAGCGUAGGGAGCAAACAGG